rnacentral:ncRNA from 1 species
GUUAUUUAAUUUUGGUAAAAAAAGCUUGCGGGUUAGUUUGUGGUGUAUGCGCUGUGAGUUUUAAUAUUUUGAGGGGCAGUAUUUAGUAGUCUGGGUUGAUUUUGGUGUUGAAAGCGUUUAAUGGGAGAGGACAGGCCAAUGUCGUGCCAGCAGUCGCGGUUAUACGAUUCUUGUCUGGGUGAGUUAGGGUUUAAUCUUUAAAGGUAUGAGGUUAUGAAGGGGGUAAAGGAUAGGGGAUUUUUGGGUGAAAUUGGUAUUUUUUUGUUUUAUCUUAUAGAAGAUAAAGAGGUAAUCAGGGCUUGGGACUGGGAUUAGAUACCCCAUUAUUCUUGAUUUAAUAAGGGUAGUAUUAGAUGUUCUAGAAACCUAAAAUUUUUGGCGGUCUUUUAGGCUAGUUAGAGGAACCUGUUCUGUAAUAGAUGUUCCACUUUGGGUUUAACUUUCUUUAUGGUAUAUAUACCGCCGUCGUAAAGUAAUUUUUGUAGAAAUUAUUAUUAAGUUAGAUUAAGGAGAUGACAGGUCAAGGUGUAGCUUAUGAGGGAGGUUGAGAUGGGUUACAAUACUGGAUUGGUAAAAGAUGAAUGUGGGUUGAAGAAAUUUCUCCGUUGAAAGUGGAUUUAAAAGUAAGGUUGAGAUUAAAAUGCGGAUUUGAUUUAGGCUCUGAGGGAUGUACAUAUCGCCCGUCGCUCUUGUCAGGUGAGAUAAGAUAAGUCGUAACAUAGUAGGUGUACUGGAAAGUGUACCUGGGGU